rnacentral:lncRNA from 1 species
AGGGCUUUGAAGUGGAAAAGGAGUGGGUGGUAGGGGGGGUGUGUGGCUUUAGGGUCUCUGGCUUAGGAAGCUGAGUCUCCGUAGUGCCAUUCAUACAGAUGGAAUGAGGGAAGAAGCAGUUUCAUGGGAAAGUAGUAAAUUUGAUUGAGUAACAAGAGCUUGGGGGAUCCAGAAGAGAGCUAGGUUUGCAGUUCAGGAGUCCAGGAGAGAGUCAAACUGAAAACAUAAGCCCAUGGAUAGUCAGUCAUUGAAGCCAUGGGAAUGAAGAUCACCUAUGGGAAACACAGAUAGAAGCGAAUGUUACCACAGUGAAGUGUGGUCUAUACAAUUAAUUGCUGCAAAGAGGUCAGGGCACCACAAUCAAUCAUUCAUCAAAAAUAACAGGCAGCAAAGGACUGAGAAUAGAGUGAUCUGUGAUAUCUUCCCACUAAUCCCAAGUCAGGAGAGAGAGAGAAUGAAGAUCCAUUGCUGUAGAGGAACAAACUGAACAUGUUGAAGGUCCCGCAAGGCCAGUGUGGCUGGAAUGCAGACACAAAGCCAGGAGGAACAAGAGAUGGGGCUGACAAGAGAGGCAGGAGUCAGAUCUCAUGGGAACUGUCACCUGCAGUGUUGCAGACCUCUUUGAAUACACCAUGAGCACUGUGGAUUCUCGCCUCUGGAGAAUAAAAAUCACAUACAGAAAAGUUCAGACAACUUUAAGGAGUUUGAAGAAUCCCUGCUAGUCGUGGACCCAUCUGGGGUUGGUGGAUUCCUGACCAUGACUCUUUGGAUUCAGAAGUCAUAUAAGAUGCAGUUUAACAAACAUUGGAAGUCAAACGAGCAUUCUGAGGAAAAACAGCAUCUUCCAUACAUCAUCUUCUGGAAUAUCCCAGAUCUGGAAGAGGUCACAGGAAUGUCCAUUCAUAGGGAGCUCUACCUGGAGCUCAGAGAUGAUUGAGAGAGGGUAAUCAUCAUAGAUGUGUCCAAGUGAAGGUAGUUUGGAAAGAAACAAAGUUACCCUUUUUUCUCACUAAACAUCUUAGGGUCCCCAUUAGCAGGAAGGAAGGAAGAGGACAGGUGAGCUCCCUGGUAUUGAUGUAUUUACAGAGAACCUAGGCAUCAGCCAUACAUACAGAGGACACUCAUUUGGCCAGAAUUUGGGCUUUGACUUUAAUUAAAUUCCCUUGCUCCCAAUAAGACCUCUCUUAAUCUGAAAACAAUUUGUCAUAAGUGAUGUACCUGCCAAGACCUCAUGGCAAAGAGGCAGGGGGUACCUAGUAAAUGUUGCUGACAAACUCCAGCAUGACUCUAAAGGGACAGUGGCUUCCUUUGGAUGGUCAUGUGCUGCUGCUGGACAUAGCAAUCAGAAGGACAGUCGUGAACACCCAGGAGUGAACCAAGAUGCAAAGUUCAAGUCCGAGGGAAGAAGGGUGCAGUGCGGAAGAAGGGAAGGCAGAUGCUGCAGCCCUGCCUACAAGCAAGGAGGGAGCCAUUAAGAGCCCCAAGCUGGCCAGGCGCGGUGGCUCGCGCCUGUAUUCCUAAUCCCGGCACUUUGGGAAGCCAAGGUGGACGGAUCACCUGAGGUCAGGAGUUUGAGACCAGCUUGACCAACAUGGAGAAACUCUGUCUCUACUAAAAAUACAAAAUUAGCCAGGAGGCUGAGGCAGAAGAAUUGCUAGAAUCCGGGAGGUAGAGGUUGCAGUGAGCCGAGAUCGUGCCAUUGCACUCUAGCCUGGGCAACAAGAGCGAAACUCCAUCUCAAAAAAACAAAAAAGCCCCAAGCCUACUUUAUCAGACAGAGGAAUCAAGUUGUAUUUCCUUCUCACCAAGAGAUGCUGGAAAGCUGUAAUCUUACACCAGUGGAGAAAGUGAGAGGAAAAUAAACCCUUUCUAAGGAUGAAUCCUGAAAGCCUUUCACAGACAAUGCUGGUUCUAUAAGAAUGACCUGUGAUGGCUAAGCCAUCACAGUCUUCAUUCCAAUUGACAUUCUAGGUAAACCUGCGCACAACUUUUUCUGUGUAUUUUCCAAAAAAGGAUCAUUUUAUAAAGGCUCAAGUUAUUUAC